CGGAGAGGCAGAGCCAAUAGCUGCUUUUCAUGCUCAGUGAGUCCGUCCACCUCCACCCCCCCUCGAGUCCUUAAGUUGCAGCUUUUAACUACCUCGGUGUUCAAAGAAAAUAUGAUGCUCAGCGUGAACAGAAGGAAGAGCCUGCUGACAGGUAGACAGCAUGGACACUGAUCCCGGCAGGGCCGGCUGCUGAGAGAGGUCUCUCGGGGGUGCUCCCACACCUCUCCUACUCCAGGUGAUGCCCCAAUUCACCUUCGCUUGCUUCUGCGGGCUCCAUGGCUUCUGCAAGAUGAAGAGGAAGAAAGAAGAGUCCAGCGCAGAGCAGGAGACAGUGGUGUGAAGAGCAGACUCGUGCGUGUGCCCUGCCAAGCCGUGCCUCGGGACCCUGUCCCCUUCCCAUCGAUACUUGCAUGGCCAGGGGAGAGACGAAGCUCAGGAAUGACCUUGCCAACAGGCAGAAGCAGAUGCUGUGGACGUUAUCCAGGUGCUGCAGCCAUUCUGCCCAGACACCCAGCCCGGUUGGGUGCUGAGCCCUCGGGACCCAAGCAGCCAGUAUUGGAGGGACCCUCCAUCCCAGCCAGGUAGAUAUUUCCCUCCUGAGGGAGCCAACCUGCCCUUGCUCCAAGUCUCAACAGACAGAGCCUGGAGGUGUUUUCAAAAGCCAGGGCCAGACCUUGUCCUUCCUGGAGUCAUAGUGCCAGAGAGGCUGGCCGCUGGCUGGUAAGUUGUCCUGCUGCUGCAGAAUUGGCUGAACGUAAAAAACAAGCUGGGUAGCUGGGUUUGGGUUUGUUUGGUGGUUGCUUUGUUGUUUUGUUUGGUUUUUUUUUUUGAAGUCUGUCUGAAGCAAAUGUCUGUGACUCCAAGAAGCCAUUCUCCAUGCCUCUGCCCUGCCUGGUCCCGUGGCUGCAGCACACCAGAGCGUUUGGAGGCACCAGACACGCCGACCCUGCUUGGACACUGCUCCUUGUGUGACUGGUACAGACUGGGAGCCCCCACGCCACGGGUAGGGGAGACACCUCAGUGCGUGACACCCACCUGCUGCACACCUGAGCAAUGAGGCUCAGGGGGAGCUUGUUCUUGUUUGGCAAAUGGGCCAAAAUCCCUGAGCUCGGGGCACCUGAGAUCCACUCCAGGGACAUUUCUAGCAUAAACGUGUUAUCCAGAGCAGAAAUCCUUAAAUUUUUCCAUACUGCGCUUCCCUUCUCCUUAUGGAGACCUCCUGAGCCUGGGGUCAGAAGCGAUGCCUGGGGCUGUCGAGCAGGAGCUGCUUGUCCUUAGGUUUAGUCCUGCUCCUGCCACCACCUCCUUCCAUGGUGGUCAAGUCUUGUGCCGUGUGGCUGUCCCCACGGUCCCCUUGUCUUCUCCACCCUGUCUGUGUGUCCUUCCCACCCACUUCUGAAGCCAUACAGGAGCUCCCUGCAUGCUGUGCCUUCCAGGAGGUGUCUCAGACAGACAUUCCCACUCCGAUACCCUCCAAAUAGCCCCAGGCUCUGCACACUGGAGAGCUGGCAUGUGGGGGUGAGCCAGUGUCCCCCGGGGGGUUUGGGGACUGCUGUUUGGGUCUCGGUGCCCAGUUCCCCAUCCCUGAAUGCAGCCAGCAUUUGAGAUUUCAUUUCAGCCACCAGCAGCCGCAAUGGGCCCAAGUGCUCCUGUUUGCAAGAUGUGCUGGGGAGCGGCAGGGACAGCCUCCAGGAAAGGGUAAAUGUUUGGGGGCAGCCAUGCCCGCUGCCCGUCAGCACAGGGAGGGGUAUUGACUUGAGCAGAUUGACACCCCUGAGGAGGGAUAAGCACACUCGGAGAACAAAUCCUCCCCCUGUGAUUAACUGGCUUGACCUUUCCAGGGUUUGCCCAGUGCUCCCAGACCAGAUUUGCACUUGGCAAACAGAGCUGUAUGUGCCACUGACAGCUCCCCUUCGGAGGAGAUUUGUUGGCUCAGCCAACAUCCCGAACCAACACAGCUAUUAUUUUAUUUUCUUAUCCAAAGGAUUUAGCACAAAAACCUGAGCCUGGCCAGAAGCACCAAUGACACGAGGUGUAGCUGAGGUGCUUUAAAUCCUCUCUGCUGGGUGCCCAUUGUCUGGCCUGCGGUGGGAAGCAGCUGACUGGUGUGGGAUGUGCUGCUUGGAGCCAACUCAGGGGUGGCAGCCAGCGGGGACCAGGCAUGGGGAACAGGCUGUGUGUGUGCAUCAGACCCGGGGUCAGGAGGCUUGGGGCACUUUGCUUUUUUUUCCCCUCUUUCAGCCCAAGUGAUGUGAGCUGGGGGGAUCCAGCCGUGCAGCCCCUGGGCAGUGUUCCCCAGCCGGGUAUUUCCCAUUUGGGCUCCAGGUUUUGUCACUGGAGAGGGCACAUGGUGACACGUGAGGUGCCCUGCGAGGGGCCAGCCGGGAGAGCGGUCUGGCUUCCCUGUCGUUUGUCACCAUCGAGCUCAGCAGAUUUCAGCCUGGCACAUGCAGAUCGGUGGAAAACGCUGUGGUUAGUGCCGGCUGUAAUGUCUCCUCUGGGACCUCUGGGGCUGCAUCAACCUUUUACUUAGGCAGCACAAGAGGAGCUGCUUCACUGAGGCAACAAGGGUGGCUGAGAUUAAUGCUGAUGCACCCACAUUUUGGCUUGGUUGAUGGUGCCCCACUCCUGGGGGGACACAAGCUGGGUCCCUGCUCAUGAUGAUCUGAGCAGGCAACACCCUUGUGAGCACAGUGUGAAGAGCUGGGGUUGUUCAGGCAGCAGGCACAUGCUCCAGAGAGACCAUCAAAAGCAGAGAUUUGGGGUAAAUCAUAGGCAGCUCCGCUCAGUCAGGCUUUGCAGAAGCUAAAGUAUUACUGUGGGGUUGAGGGGGGGUUGGCCCGGUUCAUUAGUGCAUAACCUUCGCUGCUAAACCUCUUGGACUGCAGAUCCGUUGUGGGUUGGCAGUUAAAGAUGUGCAGUCAACAGCCGCCCCGAGAUUUCAUGUCUAGGUGGAGGCUCAGCGUUGUGCUGAGAGCAGCUCUGGAGAUGAGGUCGGCGUGUGAUGGGAUGGGGCUUCAGGGGCUCCCAGUUGUGGUGGGAGACCCCCCCUGGCUGGUCUGGGCUGAGCUGGGAGCUCUGCUGGAAACACGAGCCGUCCUCGCGUUGGGCAUGCUGUGCACAUGUUGCACAUGAUGCACCCACAGCGCACAUGCUACGCACACGCUAUGCACAUGCUGUACACGGUGCACACGCGGUGCAUGCACCGCACACGCCGUGUGCAUGUGGCAGCUCUGUGCCUGUUUAGGUUUUCCCUGCGUCUCAAAUAUUCCUGCCUCCAGUGAGGGGUUCCCGAGCCAGAUGUUUGAUGAACGUAGCACGUACAUCCGAGACAGGCAGACACUCACCCCCACCCAUUAUAUGUGCAUUUGAAAACACAAUAAAUGAAGCAAGUGCAGUAUGAAUGUUAAAGCGCUUGAGCUACAGCUAUUUUUAAAGAGAACUUCCCACCUCCCUGGAUGGAUGUAGCUCUCAAAGCAACAAUAUGUUUUCCACCAUGGCUCCAAGCAAAAUGGUUUGCUCCUGGAUUGACCUCUAUUGUGUUCAUAAAUGGCUUGUGGUGCUUUUUGAUUCCCCCAUCAUAAUGACUUGACCUCUAGAUUUACGGCUGAAGGUCCUUUCAUCUGCACAUUGUUUCCCACCAGACUCCAGCCUGGCGCUUUUCUGUAGCAAACCUGCCAAGAGCUGAGCCCCUCCGAGCCGCCCAGCCAGCUUCCACUGACAAAUUUGCAGUGGGAAAAAGCAAACGGUUUUAGUUUGGAUUUUUUUUUUUUUUCUCUUUUUCCAGUGGCCACAUUUUAAUAGGGCAGCAUAUGCUUCUGAGCCUGAGAAGGCUGGGCAGUUGACAGCUCUUGUCACAGUACAAACACUCUCUCCCUGUUUCUUUUUCUCUCUCCCCCAUGUUUGCACAACCCUUGUUUUUCUUAUAAACAGUUUGCUUAUUGUUCCGGAAUUCCUCUUACCCUCCCAAGUUCACACACUCAGCCUUUGACUCUUCCACUCCACUUUUGCUUUGCCACUCCAGCAGCAACUACACCUGAGCAAUACCGUAGUAGAUAAAACUUACUAAUGUCAUGGCAGUGAGCUAUAA